AAGGCUAUAGCUCAGUGGUAGAGCGGAGGUCUCCAAAGCCUCGCGUCGGGAGUUCAAUUCUCUCUAGCCUUG
rnacentral:tRNA from 1 species